AGCCCGCGGGCGGGGUGGUGACACCCACCUUGCAGAAGAGGGAGGCGGCUCGCUGGCGAGCAGCUGGCCCCUUACACAGCCAGGAUGUGGCGGUGGGGGGUGGAGGGAAGGACCUGGCCUGGCCGACUGCAGGCCACGCGCUGAAGUGCUGCCCCUCCAUUUCCAGUGAACCUCUGGUCUCUUGUCAAACGCUGGCCGCCGUUCUCACCAGGCGACAUUAUUAGACAUGCACAGCCAAAGCCUGGAACAGACAGAUGUCUGCAGCGGGCACAGGGGAAUGCUCAGAAAGCAAAAGGAUAAACUGCGGGCACGUUCAGUGACCCGGAUCCAUUUCAAGGGCUUCGUGAUGUGUGAAAAAAGCCAGUCCCAGUGUCACACAGGCCCUGGCUGGUUUGGCUCAGCGGUUAGAGCAUCGGCCUGCGGACCGCUAACAAGUCACACUUGGGAUGAAGUAUUCCAUCUUCCUGCUCCCUGAGAACACAGUUUCCUCCGCAGGGGAUCCUGAGCCUCCUGAAGGUCUGAAAGGGAAAUGUCAAG